rnacentral:piRNA from 1 species
UAUACGAGCCGAGCUGCCAGAUGUACC